ACAGUGGUGGUUCAGUGGUAGAAUUUUUGUCUUUCAUGCAGGAAACCCAGCUUCAAUUACCAGCUAAUGCA
rnacentral:tRNA from 1 species